rnacentral:tRNA from 1 species
GCUGAAAUAGCUCAGUUGGUAGAGCAGCGCAUUCGUAAUGCGCAGGUCGCGUGUUCGAGUCACGUUUUCAGCUCCA